AAAGGAGUGACAGACAUAGGGGAGGUAAUCAGUGAAGUGAUGGAGUCCAUGAGUGCCUAAUGAUGAAUGCCAGGUGUGCGUAAUGAAAAAGCCGGUGGUUACUAAACCGGCGACGUCGAAAGCCGGAGGUGAGGAGCGGGAGUAGACAUGACAAAAGGAAGGUAUUUAUUUAGACCAUACUCAGGCAUCUUUAUGUUGCAGUGAUGAACCGUUUUUUUUCUCUUCUCAUGCCACUAACACCACCUCACACACACAGCAACCUACUUACAGCGGGACCCCUUCUCAGCAAAGCCAGAAUGUGAAGCCUCAUGCAAACACGUCAGACCAACAGCAAAACUGUGAUUAUGAUGCCCUGAACUAUACUGCCCUGAAGUUCAGUGAGAAGAAGAGUGCCAAGCCCAGGAGACAGAGGAGAGAACAGAGAGAGGAAGAAACCAUCUACUCUGGUAUGAGUCAUCAAGACAUGAUGUGACAUAUGAGGGUCAUUCAGUCAGCAUCAUUCUAAGUUAAGCCCCACCCCUCCUCUGAAUUCCACUUUGAUCCUGACUGAGCCAGCGUGAACUGACUAUUAUAUACAUUUCUCAUUUAUUGUAGGAUGCUAUUGCAGGGGCCUAGUUUUGCCAUAUAUCAACGUAAAAUCAUUCAGAUGCUGAGCAUAAUUGUCCAGUAAGUGUGAAAGCUGAUACUAGGAUGAUUUCAGAAGUCUCAAAUCCUUAGCAAUAGUGGCUGAGGUUGACUGACUCCAUACAUUUGUUUUUGUGGAAGAGUACAACAAAAUGUAUAUAAUGAUUUUGCAAAUGUCUGAAUUCUUCCUUUUGAUGAUAAUAGUUGUAACAUAGUACUCUGUAACCUGCCCUUAUGCUUGUGUG
rnacentral:lncRNA from 1 species